AUCUUGUUAUCACCAGCUAUGAUGCUCUAAACCUUAACUCCUGGAUGAGCAUACUCAGUGUUGUGCUCUUGCAGACUGUGAAGGUAGUUCAACUUGAAGAAACGAAGGAUGCCAAAACCACACAUGGAUACAGAAAAUGUCAAUUUUAAAACACAGAGGAUAAUACAAAGCUUCUCCUGUGGGAGGAUGAAAGGAGUGCAAGUAGUGAUAGUACUUCUACAAAGACCAUUAGGAUUUGGUGAUUUCAUCAACAAAAACGCUCCCAGAGCCAUAAAGGACAGCCUGGGGGCUAUGGUCAUAUAAGAUGAAUCUCUAGAAAAGAUUAUUCAGUGUUUGCUCCCCAGCCUAAUCCAAGGGAAAGUUAAAAACAACCGAUGGCAUUUUCAUGGUUCCCAGUUCAGAGGUGUGUGGCUGUGGUCCAGUCAUGAGGUGUGGAGAUUCCUGCCCUGUGCUAGCUAUCAAAAUGCAGAGAUACCAAAAACUAAAGACUAAAGAAUGCUUCAGUUGUGAGAGACAAUAUUUCAAAAGUAAAAUUCAGGUGAAUUUGCAGGACACUCGGGAAACUUCUUGCACUACGAGUAUUUCUGCUUGUGGGCAGAAAAAUUCAUGGCUGCUUCUCUCACCUGUUUAUCUUUUACCUUACCUCUCUGAGUCCAUGAAAAGGAGGAUAAAACAUAAAUAAGUCAUCCUCCCUGACUCCCAGAAAAUGUGAGGAUUGCACAGAUGGCUUCAAGCUAAUGAUCAAGACCGAUAAAUUGAUUAUUCAUUAAUGAUAUGCAGUUUACAAACAACCCAUCAUCAUUUCUUAUCCUUAAAUUUUGAAACAGGUAGAAUGUAAAAGAUAUACUGGAGCACAUGGGAAAGUAUUUUGGGUAAGGGGAGAGAAAACAGAGUGCAAGAUAUUCAGAUAUAUCAGCAAGCUUAGAGCUUUAAGCUAGUAAUUGCUGUUCUUAUCAUAUUUUCUCCUUCUAUUUGAUUAUCUAUUGCAAUUACAAACUGAAAAUGACAACCAUGUUACAAAUAGCCUUUUUUAUUAUUAUUUUCAUGUAUAGUAAUGCACAGUAUAGUAGCUGUGAGAUUGAAGAUAAGGAAGAGAUUGGAAAAAGUUGUAGAUUAAGAAACCUAUGCUAAUAAAUUCCUUUUUAAAAGACUUCCUAGAGCUGUUUAUGUUAACAUAAAUAGCGCUUUACCUUCUGUUUAUUUAAUACCAAGCUUCUUUUGUACUUGCGGAUAGUGUGGUUCCAAAUGACCACUAUUAAAAAGAAAAGGUCCGGUACAGGGAAGGCCAUAAAGCCCUGUUUACAUUGUUUUGUUGAAAUUUACUACAGUAUCAUCAAGCUAUUAGAGAGAGGAACAGGACAAAACCUUUUUUUUAAAUCUUUACAGUUAGCCUUUACAAUAUCCCUCCAGCACUAUAAGUAAAAAAAAAAAUCUCUCCUAAUGAGAACUGAGAAUGCCUGCGUUCCCUUGGCUAGCUCUUUUAGCCAGCAGCUAUUGCAAUAUGCCUAUAAGGGGAAAUUAAAAAAGAUAGAGCAGAGCCUGAAAGAGGGAAAGAUACAUAGAAAAUAUCUCAUCAUCAUCCAAUUUCAAGAAAACAAUUUAAAGAUAACUAGCUUGUAAGUGAUUGGGGUUGUAUAGGUUUUAACUGCAGCCACCUGUUUCCAAAAGAAGAAUGAGUUCUCGGCUAAAGCAUGGCUAAAACAAUACUUAUCUAAAGCUGGAUAUCUUGUUUCUCUUCCUGGAACUGCUGCAGAUUUUCUGCGUGGCCUCAUAGCAUUCCUUACCUUUUCUGAGAAUUAUUUUCUCAUCUCUGUCCACCUAUGCACCAUUCAUUCUUUAAUCAGAGGAUUUCUAAUGCAAAGUUGGAAGAAACGCUAUUUUUGACAGGAUAGACAAUCUGGUGCAUGAAUUAAGGCAUUAGAAUCCGUGGAGAUAACAGUGUUGUUGUUGUUGUUGUUUU